rnacentral:rRNA from 1 species
UACGGAGGGUGCGAGCGUUGUCCGGAAUCACUGGGCGUAAAGGGCGCGUAGGCGGCCUGAUAAGUAGGAGGUGAAAUCCUGCGGCUUAACCGCAGGGCUGCCUUCUAAACUGUCAGGCUCGAGCACAGUAGAGGCAGGUGGAAUUCCCGGUGUAGCGGUGGAAUGCGUAGAGAUCGGGAAGAACAUCGGUGGCGAAGGCGGCCUGCUGGGCUGUUGCUGACGCUGAGGCGCGACAGCGUGGGGAGCAAACAGG